GACGAACGCUGGCGGCGUGCUUAACACAUGCAAGUCGAACGGAAAGGCCCUGCUUGUGUGGGGUGCUCGAGUGGCGAACGGGUGAGUAACACGUGAGUAACCUGCCCUUGACUUUGGGAUAACUUCAGGAAACUGGGGCUAAUACCGGAUAGGAGCUCCUGCUGCAUGGUGGGGGUUGGAAAGGUUCGGCGGUUGGGGAUGGACUCGCGGCUUGUCAGCUUGUUGGUGGGGUAGUGGCUUACCAAGGCAUUGACGGGUAGCCGGCCUGAGAGGGUGACCGGCCAAAUUGGGCUGGGGAUACGGCCCAGACUCCUCCGGGAGGGAGGAGUGGGGAAUAUUGCACUAUGGGCGGAAGCCUGGUGUAGCAACGCCGCGUGGGGGAUGACGGCAUUCGGGUUGUAAUCCGCUUUCGCCUGUGACGAAGCGUGAGUGACGGUAAUGGGUAAAGAAGCACCGGCUAACUACGUG
rnacentral:rRNA from 1 species